rnacentral:rRNA from 1 species
UACGUAGGGUGCGAGCAUUGUCCGGAAUUAUUGGGCGUAAAGAGCUCGUAGGCGGCCUGUCGCGUCGGAUGUGAAAGCCCGGGGCUUAACCCCGGGUCUGCAUUCGAUACGGGCAGGCUAGAGUUCGGUAGGGGAGAUCGGAAUUCCUGGUGUAGCGGUGAAAUGCGCAGAUAUCAGGAGGAACACCGGUGGCGAAGGCGGAUCUCUGGGCCGAUACUGACGCUGAGGAGCGAAAGCGUGGGGAUCAAACAGG